rnacentral:lncRNA from 1 species
GUCAAGAGUACAUUUACCACAAAGCAGUGACAGCACUGUGUGUGCCCCACACUCAGCUACUGAAAUAAAUGUUACCAGCACUGCACAUGUCACACUGAUGAUGUAUUGCUCUGCAAGACCAAGACAACAACAGACCAUGUUUACAUGUGUAUGUUCUGCCUUCUCCUUCCAGAACUGAAACACAGCAGGCUCCAGGGGAACCUGCCACCCAGCAGGAGUAAACUGUGCCUGGGACACCCCUGGGCAUCUCUCCCUUCCUGGGAGGAGCCGCAGGGCAGGACUGCAUUCCCAAUGGCUGGGCCUUCCUCAGAAGCCUCAGCAAGAGGUACGGCCACACAGAGACCUUCUGAGCUGAGUAAGCAUAGAACACCUGACAACCCACAGUGUCUUCUGCAGAACAAAGUGACCACCAAAAGCGGGACUUUGUGGGCCAGUUGGAUAAAACAUAAGCUCAUCUCGCCCCCAAAACCCCGACUCUGGAACCACAGCCUUCCAAGAUUCAAUUUACUAUACAUUUUAACCGAUUAAUUUACGGCUGUGAUGAUUUAGGAGGUUUUUCUGGCUUUCACAC